rnacentral:rRNA from 1 species
AGCGAACGCUGGCGGCAGGCUUAACACAUGCAAGUCGAACGGAUCCUUCGGGAUUAGUGGCGGACGGGUGAGUAACACGUGGGAAUGUGCCUUUAGGUACGGAACAACACAGGGAAACUUGAGCUAAUACCGUAUGUGCCCUUGGGGGGAAAGAUUUAUCGCCUUUAGAGCAGCCCGCGUCUGAUUAGCUAGUUGGUAGGGUAAAGGCCUACCAAGGCGACGAUCAGUAGCUGGUCUGAGAGGAUGAUCAGCCACAUUGGGACUGAGACACGGCCCAAACUCCUACGGGAGGCAGCAGUGGGGAAUCUUGCGCAAUGGGCGAAAGCCUGACGCAGCCAUGCCGCGUGAAUGAUGAAGGUCUUAGGAUUGUAAAAUUCUUUCAGUGGGGACGAUAAUGACGGUACCCACAGAAGAAGCCCCGGCUAACUUCGUGCCAGCAGCCGCCGUAA